GACGAACGCUGGCGGCGUGCUUAACACAUGCAAGUCGAACGGUAAGGCCCUUCGGGGUACACGAGUGGCGAACGGGUGAGUAACACGUGGGUGAUCUGCCCUGCACUUCGGGAUAAGCCUGGGAAACUGGGUCUAAUACCGGAUAGGACCACUGCCUGCAUGGGUGGUGGUGGAAAGCUUUUGCGGUGGGGGAUGGGCCCGCGGCCUAUCAGCUUGUGGGUGGGGUGAUGGCCUACCAAGGCGACGACGGGUAGCCGGCCUGAGAGGGUGACCGGCCACACUGGGACUGAGAUACGGCCCAGACUCCUACGGGAGGCAGCAGUGGGGAAUAUUGCACAAUGGGCGCAAGCCUGAUGCAGCGACGCCGCGUGAGGGAUGACGGCCUUCGGGUUGUAAACCUCUUUCAGCACCGACGAAGCGCAAGUGACGGUAGGUGCAGAAGAAGGACCGGCCAACUACGUGCCAGCAGCCGCCGUAA
rnacentral:rRNA from 1 species